UACAGAGGUCUCAAGCGUUUGUUCGGAUUCAUUGGGCGUAAAGGGUGCGUAGGCGGCGCGGUAAGUCGGGUGUGAAAUCUUGGAGCUUAACUCCGAAACUGCAUUCGAUACUGCCGUGCUUGAGGACUGGAGAGGAGACUGGAAUUUACGGUGUAGCGGUGAAAUGCGUAGAUAUCGUAAGGAAGACCAGUGGCGAAGGCGGCUCACUGGCCCGAUACUGACGCUGAGGCACGAAAGCGUGGGGAGCAAACAGG
rnacentral:rRNA from 1 species